CGCCCGGUGAGGUCCUGCCUUGCGCCCCUGUCUCUUCCUCUGAAUCUGUGCACCCCGGGGCUUCGCAGGCACUGUUCCUUCUGAGUGUAAUGCUGUCCGGCGUUUCCUUCAGCUUCAGACAAUUUCAAUGAGACCUCAUUACUGGAAGCUAGUCUGAACCUAUAUGAACCAGGUGAGGGCCCAGCACAGCUGGCCUGGAGGGGGACCUAGUGGGAAGAGUGGCUGGGUCCGAUGGGCACCCUGUGCACCCACCUCUGCACGAACAGACGAGGGCCAGAGCAUCCUUCCGCCAAACCCCAGCCUAAGCACCACUGACCACAUGACCUCGGCCAAAUUAUGGGUCCUCUCUGAGCCUUGCCUUUC